rnacentral:SRP_RNA from 1 species
AAGCUCGAUGAGCGACGGCGGAAUUCUGCAACUGCGUACUGUCCCGACAAUGAACUCUCGUCCCUCUUGAUCUGCGGAAGAAGAGGUCCCUUUCGGAGGGAAGUGGAUCAAUCUUCUUUAUCUUGUGAACCCCGUCAGGUCCGGAAGGAAGCAGCGGUAGUAGGAACGUUGGAUGCUUGAGGGGUAGCGGGGAGGAGAAAGGCUGUACUGCAAGUACAGGAGGAAACCCCCAUCAUCGAGCAUGUCUUUUC